rnacentral:tRNA from 1 species
GGUAUAGCGCAGUUGGUUAGCGCGUCAGAUUGUGGCUCUGAAGGCCUAGGGUUCGAAUCCCUAU